rnacentral:rRNA from 1 species
UACACAUGCAGUCGAACGAUGAAGCCCUUUCGGGGUGGAUUAGUGGCGAACGGGUGAGUAACACGNGGGCAAUCUGCCCUUCACUCUGGGACAAGCCCUGGAAACGGGGUCUAAUACCGGAUAACACUCUGUCCCGCAUGGGACGGGGUUAAAAGCUCCGGCGGUGAAGGAUGAGCCCGCGGCCUAUCAGCUUGUUGGUGGGGUGAUGGCCUACCAAGGCGACGACGGGUAGCCGGCCUGAGAGGGCGACCGGCCACACUGGGACUGAGACACGGCCCAGACUCCUACGGGAGGCAGCAGUGGGGAAUAUUGCACAAUGGGCGAAAGCCUGAUGCAGCGACGCCGCGUGAGGGAUGACGGCCUUCGGGUUGUAAACCUCUUUCAGCAGGGAAGAAGCGAAAGUGACGGUACCUGCAGAAGAAGCGCCGGCUAACUACGUGCCAGCAGCCGCGGUAAUACGUAGGGCGCAAGCGUUGUCCGGAAUUAUUGGGCGUAAAGAGCUCGUAGGCGGCUUGUCACGUCGGAUGUGAAAGCCCGGGGCUUAACCCCGGGUCUGCAUUCGAUACGGGCUAGCUAGAGUGUGGUAGGGGAGAUCGGAAUUCCUGGUGUAGCGGUGAAAUGCGCAGAUAUCAGGAGGAACACCGGUGGCGAAGGCGGAUCUCUGGGCCAUUACUGACGCUGAGGAGCGAAAGCGUGGGGAGCGAACAGGAUUAGAUACCCUGGUAGUCCACGCCGUAAACGUUGGGAAC